rnacentral:tRNA from 1 species
GGGCCUGUGGUCUAGUGGUUAAAGUGAUUCCACUAAUGACGUCACCCUCACAUGCACAGCUCUGCUGGGCGUCCAAAAAGCAGGGCUUUUUGAGAACGGUGGAGGUCGCCGGUUCGACUCCGGCCAGGCCCA